rnacentral:rRNA from 1 species
UACGUAGGGUGCGAGCGUUGUCCGGAAUUAUUGGGCGUAAAGAGCUCGUAGGCGGUUUGUCGCGUCGACUGUGAAAACCUACAGCUUAACUGUGGGCUUGCAGUCGAUACGGGCAGACUUGAGUUCGGUAGGGGAGACUGGAAUUCCUGGUGUAGCGGUGAAAUGCGCAGAUAUCAGGAGGAACACCGGUGGCGAAGGCGGGUCUCUGGGCCACUACUGACGCUGAGAAGCGAAAGCAUGGGGAGCGAACAGG